rnacentral:rRNA from 1 species
UGGGGAAUCUUGCGCAAUGCGCGAAAGCGUGACGCAGCAACGCCGCGUGGGGGAAGACGGCCUUCGGGUUGUAAACCCCUUUCAGUUGGGACGAAGCUCAAGCGGUGAAUAGCCGCGUGGGGUGACGGUACCUUCAGAAGAAGCCCCGGCUAACUACGUGCCAGCAGCCGCGGUAAUACGUAGGGGGCAAGCGUUGUCCGGAAUCAUUGGGCGUAAAGAGCGUGUAGGCGGCUCGGUAAGUCCGCUGUGAAAGUCCAGGGCUCAACCCUGGAAUGCCGGUGGAAACUGUCGAGCUAGAGUCCGGAAGAGGCGAGUGGAAUUCCUGGUGUAGCGGUGAAAUGCGCAGAUAUCAGGAGGAACACCAAUGGCGAAGGCAGCUCGCUGGGACGGUACUGACGCUGAGACGCGAAAGCGUGGGGAGCAAACA